AGAGGGGGCAAGCGUUGUUCGGAAUUACUGGGCGUAAAGGGCGCGUAGGCGGCCUUCUAAGUCGAACGUGAAAUCCCUGGGCUUAACCCAGGAACUGCGUCCGAUACUGGAAGGCUUGAAUCCGGGAGAGGGAUGCGGAAUUCCAGGUGUAGCGGUGAAAUGCGUAGAUAUCUGGAGGAACACCGGUGGCGAAGGCGGCAUCCUGGACCGGUAUUGACGCUGAGGCGCGAAAGCCAGGGGAGCAAACGGGAUUAGAUACCCCGGUAGUCCUGGCCCUAAACGAUGAAUGCUUGGUGUGGCGGGUAUCGAUCCCUGCCGUGCCGAAGCUAACGCAUUAAGCAUUCCGCCUGGGGAGUACGGUCGCAAGGCUG
rnacentral:rRNA from 1 species